UGGACACAAGGAGGCGGCGCUUUUGACGCUUCUCACUGUCAAUCAAUGUGUUUUUUUUUCAGUCGUUCAGAAUGACAUACAAGUUUUUCUCUUUUAGCGUUGUUACCAAACAAUGAUGUGGCUGAAGCUCCAUUUGAUGCAAAAUCAGUGGAUUUAUAUGGCAUGAACAAGCUUUGAACCAAGGAGAAGAUAGCGUCCAAAAGAGAUGUGGGUAGACGUCAUGAUGCAGUUCAGCCAACGGAAGCUUCCGCGAUAGGAUCGAAAAUUUUUUUCAAAUCUCGAAUCCCCGGGGCGUUUUCGGACGUCAUGGCUUGUGACUAAAUUCAAAGAAAUAAAUUACAUUGAAUUUCUUUUAUUUCUUGAA